UACGUAGGUGACAAGCGUUGUCCGGAAUUACUGGGCGUAAAGCGUGUGUAGGCGGCCUUAUAAGUCGGAUGUGAAAGCCCAGGGCUCAACCCCAGGCGUGCACCCGAUACUCCCGGGCUGGAGGCAGGUAGGGGAGAUCGGAAUUCCUGGUGUAGCGGUGAAAUGCGCAGAUAUCAGGAGGAACACCGGUGGCGAAGGCGGUUCUCUGGGCAUGACCUGACGCUGAGGAGCAAAAGUGUGGGGAGCGAACAGG
rnacentral:rRNA from 1 species